CCACCUCGAUGGACAGAAGAUCGGAA
rnacentral:piRNA from 1 species